rnacentral:lncRNA from 1 species
UCAAGGCUCAAGGUCAGCGAUGUGUGGGUGUGGUGAACGUCCUGCACAUCCUUCCUUUAAAACCCAGAAAUUAGCUGAGCAAUUAGGAAUUAAUUCCAUGUAAUUAGAGCAAUGAAACUGCACACCCAGGAUGGUGAAAACGACCCGAGAAUUUCUGGCAGUAGCGGGGGGGCUUGUUGGCUGUGAGCAGUGGCAGAAGAGGAAAGUGCUGCUAAGACCAUGAUGUCCCUGGGUGUCGCUAAAGGAGGGCUGAUCCUGCCCACGGACGAGGAUCGCCGCAGGAUCAUCCGGCAGAUGAAGGUUCGCACCACCCUGCGGGGGGACAAGAGCUGGAUCCAGCACCACAACUCCGACUCGGAUGAGGAGAAGAGCAGCCCCCUGUAAGAACAUUUCCUUCUCCUUCCCUUUCCCCAUCAGAAUUCCC